rnacentral:rRNA from 1 species
GAGGAUGCUUUUGGUUAGGUGCCUUACGAGUUCCCUGGAACGGGACGCCUUAGAGGGUGAGAGCCCCGUACGUUUGGUUACCGAGCCUCUGUAAAGCUCCUUYGACGAGUCGAGUAGUUUGGGAAUGCUGCUCUAAAUGGGAGGUAAAUUUCUUCUAAAGCUAAAUACCGGCCAGAGACCGAUAGCGCACAAGUAGAGUGAUCGAAAGAUGAAAAGCACUUUGAAAAGAGGGUUAAAUAGCACGUGAAAUUGUUGAAAGGGAAGCGUUUAUGACCAGACUUUUUCCUGGCGGAUCAUCCGGUGUUCUCACCGGUGCACUUCGCCAGGUUUAGGCCAGCAUCGGUUUUCGCCGGGGGAUAAAAGCAGUGGUAAUGUGGCUCCCUCCGGGGAGUGUUAUAGACCGCUGCAUAAUACCCUGGCGGGGACCGA